UACGUAGGUGGCAAGCGUUGUCCGGAUUUACUGGGCGUAGAGAGCGCGCAGGCGGUCGAUCAAGUCGAGUGUGAAAGCCCCCGGCUCAACUGGGGAGGGUCAUUCGAUACUGAUCGACUCGAAGGCAGGAGAGGGUAGUGGAAUUCCCGGUGUAGUGGUGAAAUGCGUAGAUAUCGGGAGGAACACCAGUGGCGAAGGCGACUACCUGGCCUGUUCUUGACGCUGAGGCGCGAAAGCUAGGGGAGCAAACGGGG
rnacentral:rRNA from 1 species